rnacentral:rRNA from 1 species
UACGUAGGGGCAAGCGUUGUCCGGAUUUAUUGGGCGUAAAGAGCGUGUAGGCGGCUUUACAGGUCCGUUGUGAAAACUCGAGGCUCAACCUCGAGACGCCGGUGGAAACCGUAAGGCUAGAGUCCGGAAGAGGAGAGUGGAAUUCCUGGUGUAGCGGUGAAAUGCGCAGAUAUCAGGAGGAACACCCGUGGCGAAAGCGGCUCUCUGGGACGGUACUGACGCUGAGACGCGAAAGCGUGGGGAGCAAGCAGG